CAUUUAUUCACUCUUCCCGUCUCUCUCUCUCUCUCUAGAGAGAGUGUAGAUCUCGCCCAGCACCGCUUCCUCCAAACAAACCCAAACCGCCGUUUCUUCCAAACAACCAAAUCGAUGUUUCCGGCUUCUUGCAACGAAAUAGGGUAAUUCUCUCAACCUCUGUUCUCAAUCUUCAAAACCUUACGGCUGCGUUUGUUUCAACGGAUAAAGAGCUUGGAUAGGAAAACUUAAAUCCAAUUUGGGAAGUAAUCAUGUUUGGAAUCCCAGAUAGUUUUCAGGUGGAUUUCUCAAUUCCUGUCAGGACAUCAUGUUUUGGGAGACCCUAGUUUGUUCAUGAGUUGGUUAUCAGCGAAAUUGAUUCUGGUGUUGGAGCCCACUCCGAAGUCCUUUGUUCUAAAUAAUGUAGAUCUUCAAUGAUUCUGCCGGGCCAUCUUCAAAUCUUCAACCGCGUUUUAAGAGUUCGCAAUAACAACAGGUUCUCCUGAUCUAAUCUAUCGCGCAAUUAUGCUGUUUGGAUGAUGAUGAAGAUCGCCACUUAUUUAGAAGUGACAUUUUCCUACUGGUUUGGGAUUUGAUUAUAAUGAAGCAAAAGUUGCUUGCUGAUGAACAGAUCGUGAGAUUAUGACUAAAAGUGAUUAUUAUCAAAGGGGAUUUGACUCAUUAAUUUAAAUGUGAUUAUAUUAAUUAAUCUUUAAUACUUCAUUAUGUAAAUUAA